rnacentral:lncRNA from 1 species
AUUAACUAACUUUCUCUCCAUUUUCAAAUCCCUCCAAUUAUCAUAAUCCAACCAACUCUCCAAAUUCCAAAAUCCUUCAAAUUUUAGUAACAAAAGACAAAUAUUAAUUUACUUUCCAAAAGAAACAACCCUAUUUCUUGAUUUCAUUUUCUAUAUAAACCCCUUCCUAUAUGUUGUUUUCCUCAUCAUUACAAAGAAUUCUCUUGUCUUAAAANNNNN